rnacentral:rRNA from 1 species
CUGGUUGAUCCUGCCAGUAGUCAUAUGCUUGUUUCAAAGAUUAAGCCAUGCAAGUCUAAGCAUAACCCCUUGAAUGGGAAAGCCGCAGACGGCUCAUUACAACAGCUAAAAUUUAUUAGAUAGUAAACCUUAUGUGGAUAACUCCACAAAAGGUGGAGCUAAUACAUGCAAUCAAGCUCGGACUCACGAACGAGCGCAUUUAUUAGAAUCAACCAAUCGGGCUCACGUCCGUUGUUUGGUGAAUCUGACUAAAACUGUUGAUCGCACGGUCUCGUACCGGCGACAAAUCUUUCAAAUGUCUGCUUUAUCAACUUUCGAUGGUAGUUUAUACGCCUACCAUGGUUGUAACGGAUAACGGAGAAUAAGGGUUCGACUCCGGAGAGGGAGCCUGAGAAACGGCUACCACAUCCAAGGAAGGCAGCAGGCACGCAAAUUACCCACUCCCGGCACGGGGAGGUAGUGACGAAAAAUAACGAGGCAGUUCUCUAUGAGGUCUGCCAUCGGAAUGGGAACAAUUUAAAUCCUUUAUCGAGGAUCUAUUGGAGGGCAAGUCUGGUGCCA